rnacentral:rRNA from 1 species
CUCGGCCGUCACAGCUGACGUCUGUGCUCGCUCAAAGUUUUCUUCGUACUUCUCCAUCAGCCCCACCUUCAGCCCUACUUCCGUUUACCAGUUCGCAUAGCGGAAGUGCUUUAUAUACGCUUACAAAAAUGUAUACUAGUACAUUUUGUGCGUCCCGAGCUCCUUGAUCACUAGCUGCUGGUCGCAAUGGCAGCGUCUCCAGCAAACAAGUUUUUUUGUGGACUUCGGCGGAGGUGCUCUUGUUAGGGGUUUGUUUGCGAUGUAGUAGUUUGGAGGUUGAUGAUCGUUCCAUGUUGGGUUUGUUUGUAGGGCUGAUCGUGCGCUUCUGGAGUUGUAUGCUCUGUUUGCAGGGGAAGCUCUCCCGCCUACCUUGACAUCCGCUGCUGCUCAGCCACCUCUCUACGAUGGCUCAACCAGGUUGUACAUGACGUAUGUCUGCCCGUAUGCGCAGCGGGCGUGGAUCGCGAGGAACUGCAAGGGUUUGCAGCACAAGAUCUUGCUCGUCCCCAUCGAUUUGGAUGAUAGGCCAGUGUGGCUCAGCAAGAUUUACCCCAAAAAUCAGGUACCCUGCCUAGAGCACAACAACAAAAUGAUAGGAGAGAGCUUGGAUUUGAUCAAGUACAUAGACAGCAAUUUCGAAGGCCCCAAACUGAGUCCUGAUGAUCCUGAAAAGCAAGGGCUUGCAGAAGAACUGCUGGCUUAUUCAGACACCUUCAAUCAAGCGAUGAUGUCGGCAUUGACUACCAAAGGGGCAGUGACUGCUGAUGCUGAAGCUGCUCUGGACAAAAUAGAAGUCUCCCUUUCAAAAUUUGAUGAUGGGCCUUUCUUUCUCGGCCAGUUCAGUCUGGUAAUUUUGCACUCCGUCCCUUAGAGCAUCUCCAACAGGCGCGCGAAAAGACAUGCGCGCGCGGUAAAUCCAGCUUUUAGCGCGCGGAACGUUUUGCCGCGUUCCAGCGGUGGCUGGAAACUCGUGCGCGGGAACCGUUUGCGCGUGCGCGCGAAAAGGCGACCGCUCGCGCGCCAUUUUUGGCGCACCGCUUCCGGUGCGCCUAUAAAAUGCGGCGCUCGCCACGCGCCUUCUCCACUUCCUCUGCCACGCGCCUGUUCCUCCUCCUCUGCCACGCGCGCCUCCACCGCUCCAGCGCCCCGCCAUCCGACGCGCCACCAUGCCGCCGCGCCGUCGAGGAGCGUCGGGCUUCCGCGGCGUCCGCCUGCGUCCCAACUGUGGCUACUACUCCGAGAUACGCUCCGGUGAACUCCGGCUCGGCCUCGGCACCUACGAGACGGCGCACGAGGCCGCCCGCGCGUAUGACGCGACGGCGUGGCGCCUAGGCAGGCCGCGCAGGCAGAUGAAUUUCCAGGACGUCUACACGCUCCAGCAGGCACUGGACGUCGCCCCGCCGGCUCGUCUUAACACGGCAGAAGACCGUGCUGAGCACGCUGAGCGGCAGUGCCGCCUCCUCCUCGCCCAGGAGGACGAGCUGGUCAUGGGGGAGUGGCGCCGGCGCCACCCGGAGGACAUCGCCCACGAGCAAUCCUACUGGGCAAGGCGCCGCGAGGAGGACACGCGAAGGCGCCACAAUUCGCGGGUGGAGAGGCGUCGACGGAAGGCAUUGGCGAAUGCGCGGUCGGAUAUCGUUGCAGCAGGUGGGAGGUCGUUCUUCACGGAAAACGAUGAUCGUUGGUUGGACAUAUGGCUCGAUACCUCAGACGACACCGACGAGUAUGAUGAUGGUGAUGAGGAUAGCGACUUGGAGUAGUUUUCUAUCUAGUUGCGUCGUAGUUUAUCUAUGCUUUCGAACUAUCUAUCUAGUUGCACCGAUGUAAAGUACCUUUGUAUCGUUUUUCAUUUAUGCAAUCUAUCUAGUUUUUAUUUAUCUAUGCUUUCGAUUUAUCUAAAAAUAAAAAAAAUAUUGUGUGCCCGCUGCAUUUUUUGCGCGCUUCUCGAGCGGCGCGCGCGCGCUGCAUUUUAGCGCAGCUGCUGGGGCCAGCGCUGCGCGCCGCGCCAAAUCAGGCGAUGGGCGCGCGGCAAACCAGUUUUUUGCGCACGGCGCGUUCGGCGCCUGUUGGAGAUGCUCUUAUAUCAGCUAGAACUUGGCAAUUUGAACAACUAACAUAGUUUGGAACUGGAAACGGGUGGACAUCGCAUAUGCACCAUUUGUUGAUGGAUUCCAAGUAUUCUUCGCCAACAUAAAGAAUUACGAUACCGCCGCAGGAAGGCCUAACAUGCAGAAAUUCAUCAAGGAAAUGAAUGGCAUUGCAGCGUAUGUGCAGACCAAGCACGACCCUCAAGAACUGCUUGCUCUCACAAAGAAGCUGCUCGGGAUAUAAGGGUUUUCUCCUGGAUUUGGAUCGGCCGAUCCGAUGACUGAUGAAGCAUUGCCAAUGUAUGCUGCGAGCGCAAUCAAUUGUUAUGUACUGUGGCGCAGUAAAUAAAAUUAAUACGCACCAUCACGCGUACUACUAUUCAUACAAGGACUAGCUUGUGAAUAAGUUACGUCGAAUAAACAGCAAAUUGCCUUGCCUUGGGCGCCAAGUUGUUCUUGCCAGUCGCAGUCGCUCCUACUAUUACCCGUUGUUUCCGUUUCAUAACGUUCGUUGGAACACUGAGAGCC